AAGUCGAGCGAACAGACGAGGAGCUUGCUCCUUUGACGUUAGCGGCGGACGGGUGAGUAACACGUAGGUAACCUACCUAUAAGACUGGGAUAACUUCGGGAAACCGGAGCUAAUACCGGAUAAUAUUUCGAACCGCAUGGUUCGAUAGUGAAAGAUGGCUUUGCUAUCACUUAUAGAUGGACCUGCGCCGUAUUAGCUAGUUGGUAAGGUAACGGCUUACCAAGGCAACGAUACGUAGCCGACCUGAGAGGGUGAUCGGCCACACUGGAACUGAGACACGGUCCAGACUCCUACGGGAGGCAGCAGUAGGGAAUCUUCCGCAAUGGGCGAAAGCCUGACGGAGCAACGCCGCGUGAGUGAUGAAGGUCUUCGGAUCGUAAAACUCUGUUAUUAGGGAAGAACAAACGUGUAAGUAACUGUGCACGUCUUGACGGUACCUAAUCAGAAAGCCACGGCUAACUACGUGCCAGCAGCCGCGGUAAUACGUAGGUGGCAAGCGUUAUCCGGAAUUAUUGGGCGUAAAGCGCGCGUAGGCGGUUUUUUAAGUCUGAUGUGAAAGCCCACGGCUCAACCGUGGAGGGUCAUUGGAAACUGGAAAACUUGAGUGCAGAAGAGGAAAGUGGAAUUCCAUGUGUAGCGGUGAAAUGCGCAGAGAUAUGGAGGAACACCAGUGGCGAAGGCGACUUUCUGGUCUGUAACUGACGCUGAUGUGCGAAAGCGUGGGGAUCAAACAGGAUUAGAUACCCUGGUAGUCCACGCCGUAAACGAUGAGUGCUAAGUGUUAGGGGGUUUCCGCCCCUUAGUGCUGCAGCUAACGCAUUAAGCACUCCGCCUGGGGAGUACGACCGCAAGGUUGAAACUCACAGGAAUUGACGGGGACCCGCACAAGCGGUGGAGCAUGUGGUUUAUUU
rnacentral:rRNA from 1 species